GCCGGGUGUGGUGGCGCAUGCCUGUAAUCCCAGCUACUUGGGAGGCUGAGGCAGGAGAAUCGCUUGAACCCGGGAGGUGGAGGUUGCAGUGAGCCGAGAUGGCACCACUGCACACCAGCCUGGGUGACAGAGCGAGACUCCGUCUCAA
rnacentral:SRP_RNA from 1 species